UCAAAUGGUACGGCAUAGUAGUCGGAAAUCAACACCGGGACACACCCUGCAUACAUUGCCUCCACAACUUUAGGACUUGCUACUUCAGACCCACUUGGGCACAAGCAGAACUUGGUUUGUCCCAUUAGUUUGUGGUAGUUCAGGUCCUUAGGGAGCUUUUCGUAAACUCGAACUUCAUCAUCUUUUUCCUUCCAAUGCUCAAACAAAAUGCUCCUGAUGUCUCCAUGAGCAGCACCGGCAAAGAAGGCAAGGAGUGGACGCUUAUCUGGGGGUUCUCCGAAACGGGGCGGCCCAAGGUCAAAGGCUUUUAGGUUAUAUUCCGGCAAUGAGACGUCUCUGGUAGGCUUGAAUCCUUCAGAGGUGUUUGCGUUGCAUAACACCUUAAUGAGAUUCUUAUAGGGUCUCGGGUCAUCGCGUGAGAUAAUUGGUGCCUGAAAAAUCAAAUACAUAAUAGUUGAGCAACGAUAUAUAUAUUUUUAUAUGCAAUUUAACAAUCAAUGUUAUUUCAUGAUAAUUAUGAUACGAUGAUUCAAUCAUGUGCCAAUCGAGCUCAAAGCCUGCUAACUUUAGUUGUGCUACAAAACCAACGAGUUACUAGGACCAACAAUCAACCAAGUUAUCUCAAAGUGCAUGAAUGUUCUUUUGCUAACUGGCUUGAAAACGGACAAGUGAUCCUCUCUGGAUCUCACUAUUCGAAGCCUAGAGCCAAGCAAUCGGAACCACUCAAAUUGAAUUUGAAUCUCUAUUAACUCAUUCGACGGUCAUCUCACACAAACUAAGAGUCUCAAUCUCUCUUCCACACAAUUCAAAGACCUGGAUUUCCUAGUCCGGAGAGAUUCCAUAUUCCUUGGCAACCACCUAAACUAACAAAUUGUCCAAGUAAGAAAACCAACUAAUCUAAAUUCAAAGGGAACUUUAACGAAAAGCACCAAGUACUGUUCACUUUAACGAAAAACCACAUUUUUACACUAAAAAGUCAAUCUUGGUACUAUUCACUUUACCCUUUAUUUUGUCCUUAUCAUUAAAACUCAAAGUUUUCAAGCCCUUUUCAUUAGUUUUCCUAAAUUCAAAUGGUUGAUUUGUCCUUGCAAAUCGUUGAUAAUAAUAAAUAUUAAAGCAAAUCAAAUGAUUGAUGAGGAAUGAAUAGUAGCUUACCCAAUCAUGGCACGAGACAAAGAAAUGAUCGGCCCCACCACUUCUAUUCCAGUAGGGGUAUUUAUCCGCUACAACAAAAAUGUAGUCUGUAAAAGUACGAUCCAGCCGAUGGAAGAAUGUCUCAUGGUGAGGCCUGUAUAGGAAGUCGGUAAUCUUGGACACACUCAUUGGCAGGAAGAAUGCGUGGGCCUCAUCAGGAUGUUGGGCCACAAAUGGGCUUGGCCCACUUUCCACCUCGAAUAUAAACUGCCCUUCUAUGGAGUAGAUGUAUGUGGUGGGCCCAUUGUGAACCAUUGGUAAAUCUCCUUCCUUGUAACUCCAUAUCUUGAACCUCUUCAUCAUCUCUACGUGACUCCUAAUGUAUUCCAAAAUAAUAACAUAACAAAUUAAAUUAGUACGCAACCACACCACUAAGUUUUUGUAAAUUCAUAUUAACGACUCGUUUGGAACUGCUUUUAAAAUGGCUGAAAGAGUUUUUUGUAAAAAUGUUUUUGGAACAAUCUUUAGUAAAAAUGCAAAUGAAUUAUGGAAAAACACUUUAAGUGUUUUUGAGACCCAAAAACAUUUUUUUCUAAAUGCAUUUUCAGUCAUUUUAAAAGCACUUCCAAAUGAUCCCAAAAUUAGUGGCAUCACUUGACCAAAUUUGAAAAAUAACAAGGUUUCAAUCAAUGAAAUAGAAAAAUGAGAGAUGUGAACCUAAUUUCUCCAUAAAUUCACCUACACUUCAAAUUAGGGUUAUAAAAUAUGAAUAUUUAGUAGGAUCUCACUUUGACACGCAAUUAUCUUAAACUAAUUACUUAUCGACAUACGUCUAAUUUUUUCACGUGACAAUACAUGAUUAACUUAAGAUGCGUCACAAUAACAUCGCACGUGUUAGAUAAUUGCGUCAAAUUAUAUACAUUUGAUCAAAUCAUACAAAAAAUUUGCUUGAUGGAAUUAAUUAAGUAAAAAUGGUAAAGACAAAAACAUAAUUUUUGUGUUCAAAUGUAAUAUGCCAUAUGAUGACACACAUCUUGAAGAAACGGCCAAGGCUAAAAACAUAGGUCGAAUGGGAUAUAGUACCAGCACCACCCAAGAGGAAGCCCACAAGCACAUAUAAAUACAACAUAAGCAAUAAUGCCAUUUGUUAGGAAAAACGUGGAGCGCUCCGGAAAGGGACUUGUUUGGUUCUAACUUCUUACUUGUAAAGAAUCAGUGGCCUAACAAAACCACCCAUUGGAAUUAUAUUAACACAUAACUGAAUAUGGUAGCUGAUGGAUCAUGGAUUUGUUACGCUUAGACAUAUUCGUGUUGAUGUCAUUUUUCGGUUACAUUGUAAAAAUUCGUUAAUGAUCUUAUCUAAACUAUCUAUUAAAAAACUAAUACACUAGUGGAUAAGGUGUUGGGUUUUUACACAUACGUCCGGGUUCCGAAUUCUCUAUCUCCUAAAUUAUUGUAAUAAUUUUGAACUCUCCCGCUGCCCCUAAUAAUAGGGGUUUAGGAAAAAAAAAAAACUCUUCGUUAACAAAAAAAAGGUGAAAAAUAUCAAAUUAAUCAUGUCAACAAAACUAAAGAAAAAUAACCAAAAUAAAAUUCAUGAGCAAUAUAGUAAACUAAACACAAAUAAUUUUACUGUUUUUUUUCUUCAGAGCUUCACAUCCAGGUAACCAUGUUGGUUACUCCAAUUUUCUAUUUCACAUUUUUCUCAUAAUGAAAUAAACCUUUAGUGACGAGGAAUAAUUAUUCAUAAAUAGUCUCUAAAGAUAUGAACAACCUCUUUAGUGACAAAAAAUCAUUUGAAAGUUGUCACAAAUUUUUUUUUGGAAACCAUUGUAUAUUUCUUUUUGUAAAUUUUAUUUUCCUACUUUUAAAAAACAUAUACAUAGUAUGUGGACAAUUGCUAAUAUGUAAUUAAUUUCUUGUUUUUAAUUAAAGAAAAGCAUUUGGCAUUAUAUGGAAUUAUUAUAUUAUAUCUGCAAAAUAAUUAGGCUAAGUGCAUGUCACCCAAUCGUUAAUCACUCAAUGCUGAUUAACAAAGGAAUAAAACCUAAAAUAUAGAAUUGAAUUUUUUUUAUAUAGAGAAAUGAGAUUAAAAAUAAAAUAAAAAAUGGACUUAACUGAUGAAAGGCAUAUGGAUUUCUGUAGACACUUCCUCUGGGGAUGUAAAUCUCCUUCCGGUCGGAGGUGACAUUCUUUGUGAGAAUAGCUUUGCGGAUUAUCGCUCUUGCUAUCCCCAACUCCUCUUCAAUCCUCUCCGUUUUGCUCUUCUUCUUCUGGAUUUAAACACAAAUUAAAAUUUACCCAUAUAAUUUUUUUAUAAACAAAAAAUAAUAAUAAAGCAGUAAAAAAAAAAUGGAAGCUUACGUACUUUGGUAGUAGCGUGACUGAGUUUGGAGGCGGUGGAAGUUGAGGAAGGCGCAUGGCGGCGGCGUAGCUCGAGCGGUGGCUGGGAUGUUGGGGAUGGGGAUGGGGAAGGUGCAGGUGCAGGUGCAACAGCAUGCAAAGCUGUGGUGUUGAAAUUGCGGGUGGUUUGGUGUUGGAAGUUAGACGGGGAGGAGGAGGAGGUGGGAGAAGAAGAGAAAUUGAGAGAGAGAUGGUGUCGUUGGUUCAAGGGAGAGAAGAAGAUGGCCACGACAAGGAGGAGGAGAAGAGUUACAGAGAGUAGAUAUGGAGAGCGAAAAUCCAGGGCUUCUGCCAUUUGAUAGCUCCAACCCACCUCCUUAAUUUAUUUAAGACCAGCUAAUAAUACAUAUAUAUGUGUAUUAUUUAAGGUAAGGUAAAUGGCCAAAUAUUAACAAAACAAGGCUUCUGUUCGGUUUUGUGUUUGGUCACCGCAGGAAUAUUGAAUAACCUUUUGUUUUGUUUUUCAGCUAGCGUGUUGCUUUUGUAACGGUUAAAGUGUUUUAAAAUAAUAAAAAGCAUUCUGCAUCGUUUGAAAAUGAAAAAGAAAUCUUGAAAAUUGGUUCUGAAUGAUGAAAGUGCUCGAAGUUUUUAUAAGUAUUUCGACAUAUUGAUAAAUGAUAUUAUUUUUUGCUCUUAUUUUCUCCUCAUACAUUUGUGUAUUUGUUUUCAUUCAUGCAUUUUUAUUAAUUUUUUAAAUCACAUGACCAUAAAUAAGAAGAAUGCAAAGUGCAAACAGAUAAAAAAUAAUUGUGAAAAUGAUUAAAAAUUCUAUAAUUACUUAAUUAUUUAUACGAUCUCAAGACGUUUGCUGAAAACUGAAAAGAAUAAAAUGAAUAAAGGUCUCCUAGGGCUAGGGGUUGCGUCUCAUCGAGACAAAAUUGGUCAAAAUCAAAUCAUAAAAUAAGGGGAACAAACAAUAUUCAAAUCGUCUUAGCAUAUAUUUCUGUGUUUCUUAAUUUAUUCAAUUUAUCUCCAAUAUAAUAAAGAGAUUUUUUUUUUAAAUUCCUUAUGAAUAUAUAUACACAUCAUUUUUGUUUGUCAUAUAGAUUAAUGAGUAAACUUACUUUUGCGGGUAACACAAGGCCGAAGAUGAAUGUGAAGAAUAUUGAAACUGUUCUCAAACUAUCGCAGGAAUUUUGAUCCAACCGCCCAUAAUUUGGUAAGAACAAAAUGAAAAAUAAUGAAAUUCCAAACAAACCCUUAAAUACUAUGCAUGACCUCAAGACUGAAAAGAAUAAAAUUCAUAAAGAAAGCUAGGGACAAGGUCCUCUUCAGAUCAAUUAUCUGCUGAUGCUUGGGGACCAACUAAUCUAGCCGUUGGUUUUAGAUGUUGUAGUUAAGAACCAUGUUUUAAUUCUCUUUACCUUUUUUUUUUCUUCCUUGCCCAUCCUGUUGUUCUUCGUCUUUCUGAUGUUCUUCCUUGCCUAUAUUUUCUGUACUUUUUCUUCCCUGCCCAUUUCUGCAGUUCAUUGCCCAUUUCUUCUUGUUCGUCGUCUAUCUGUUAUUCUCCUUCGUAUUAUAUGUUUUUAAGGGAAGAUUGUUAUGAGUUACCUCUAAUAAACGUCGAGUUUCCUCUUCAUAGUACUUUGCCAGGUACAAAUGAAAAACAAAAAAUAAAACUAGAUGCUAAUCCUUGAAAAGGAUUUAGUUUAGACAAAUACCAUUUGCAAGAUUAACAAUUGAAUUAAGUCCCUGACCAACAUCAACCUACAUAAUUCCACAUUAGUUGUCAUUUAUUUCUUUGUUAUUCUUCCAAUUAUACCCUUUUGUCAAUGUUUGUAAUGAAGACCUUUUUUUUUUUGUUAACAAUCAUAGUACGUCAUUUAUUAUAGCUUAUUUUUAGGAUGUAUAUGAUAUUUUGUAGUAGUUUUUCUUUAUUCUCGUUCAAAUUUCAAACUGAUUUUAGUUCAUAUUAGAAAUUAGUAAUUCACUUUCUAAAAUUAAGAGGGCUAUGUAUAUAGUAUAUUGUAAUGGCAUCACCUUUUUUUUUUUUUUUUUUAUUUUUUUUAUCAUGGGACCUAAGGUAUGAAUAUUUAGGUGCAUUCGACUAGAUAUUGUGAUUUAGGUGUAUUGUGGUAGGUACCAUGGUUUAGGUGCAUUGUGAUAGGUAUCAUGGUUUAUGUGCAUUUGACUUGGUACUAUGAUUUACGUGCAUUCGACAAGGUACUAUGAUUUAAGCACAUUAGGACAUGGUUUAAGUGCAUUCGAUUAUGUAUAAUAUAUGAUUUAGGUAUUUUUAUUUCCUCUAUGCUUUGGAUGGUGAUAAUGAAUAAUUUGAAUUAGGUACUUGUUUAAUUCUUGUAACGUAUCCCUAAUCUUUUUUUGGACGUCUAGAUGAGGUAUGUUUAUAGUUUGAGAAAGUCAAACAAUGUCAAUGCCAAAAAAUAUAGAGCAAAAUAAAACCAAAUAUUUAAUAUGGGUGUUAUGGGAACCAAAAAAACACAUUAAAUAUUUUAAAACAAGAAAAUAUGAACUUUAAUAUUUAUGAUGACAUGAAAAUUUAGUCAAAGGACUAUAAUGAAUAUAUAAUCUAACAUAAGGUUUUAAUUGAAUUUCAAUCUUUAUCGAGGAUUAAAAUGGAGAAACCCCAAAACAAAAACCAACAUUGACUCUAAACAAUAGUUGUUGCUUAAGGAUCUGAAUUUGAUCUGUAAGUCAUAGUCAUCACAAAGGCUCUUCUCGAUAGAGCAACAGAUCGAGUACAAUCAUGAAAAAUCUUCUUGCCGCAACAAAAAAGCGACCACAAACGAAAAAGAUAUAUAGAAGGAAAAAAUCAAGAGAAAUUGCCGCCGACCCCAAGACUAAUGGCCAAGGUCAACGGUGGAGUGAGUUUUCCUGUAAGUUUUAUCUCUAGAUAUUGGCUAGAUAAUAAUGAUGUUGGGUGUGUGGAUAACACCCCCCAAUUAACUUACCGCCCAUUAACUUUCCGUGUUAUUAACUUAUUUGACCCUAUAAGAAGAGUGUUUUUUACACUAAUUUUCUAUUUCUAUAGUACUGUUAUUCAUGACUGAUGACCGUUGAAUUGAAUAAACUAGAAGAAUCAUCGAACACGAAUGAAUAAUUAACCGGUAUAAUCUGACCUGACAUGACCCGAUUUGAAAGCAGCACCACUUUUUUUAACCCUAAUUCCUGGUAUAAAAGGAAAGUAAUAAUUAACCCCAUCUCAUUUUUUUACCACAUUUUUGUCGUUCGAGAAAUUUUUCAGUGUGACCAAAACACAAAGUGAUACACAACAUGUCACUAUACAAAUUGUGGGGAUAUCUAUGUUAACAAGUUAAGAACAUAAAAAUAAAAAUAAGAUUAUGAACUUAGUAAUUAAUCCAUCAUAUAUAGUGAGUUUUGUCUCACGCUAAAAAAGAAUUGAUCAGAAACUUUACAAGAUGCCAAGAUGCUCAAAACUGAUCUGGUAACCGAAUGUUGAGCCUUCUAAGCCACACCGAGUGGAGCACCAUGUGAAAUACGUCGUAGGGCUUAGCUGGUCGGUUGAGCUCAAAAUGCCUUCUUACUUGCAUCACCCUCUUCUGCAAUUUCAAGUACUUUGAGUAUGGAACAACUUUCAGUAUUGUCUUGAUUUCUGAUAUUCUCUUGGGUGGAAUUUGUAUCGAAAACUUGCUCCAAUCAAGAACAUCAUCAAAUGGUACUGCAUAGUAGUCGGAAAUCAACACCGGGACACACCCUGCAUACAUUGCCUCCACAACUCUAGGACUUGCUACUUCAGACCCACUUGGGCACAAGCAGAACUUGGUUUGUCCCAUUAGUUUGUGGUAGUUUAGGUCCUUAGGGAGCUUUUCGUAAACUCGAACUUCAUCAUCUUUUUCCUUCCAAUGCUCAAACAAAAUGCUCCUGAUGUCUCCAUGAGCAGCACCGGCAAAGAAGGCAAGGAGUGGACGCUUAUCUGGGGGUUCUCCGAAGCGAGGCGGCCCAAGGUCAAAGGCUUUUAGGUUAUAUUCCGGCAAUGAGACGUCUCUAGUAGGCUUGAAUCCUUCCGAGGUGUUUGCGUUGCAUAACACCUUAAUGAGAUUCUUAUAGGGCCUCGGGUCAUCACGUGAGAUAAUUGGUGCCUGAAAAAUCAAAUACAUAAUAGUUGAGCAACGAUAUAUAUAUUUUUAUAUGCAAUGACAAUCAAUGUUAUUUCAUGAUAAUUAUUAUAUACUGAUCCAAUCAUGUGUCAAUCGAGCUCAAAGCCUGCUAACUUUAAUUGUGCUACAAAACCAACGAGUUACUAGGACCGGCAAUCAACCAAGUUCUCUCAAAGUGCAUGAAUGUUCUUUUGCUGACUGGCUUGAAAAUGGACAAGAGAUCCUCUUUGGAUCUCACUAUUCGAAGCCUAGAGACCAAGCGAUCGGAACCAUUCAAAUUGAAUUUGAAUCUCUAUUAACUUAUUCGAUGGUCACCUUACACAAACUAAGAGUUCCAAUCUCUCUUCCACACAAUUCAAAGACCCGGAUUUCCUAGUCCGGAGAGAUUCCAUAUUCCUUGGCAACAACCUAAACUAACAAAUUGUCCAAGUAGGAAAACCAACUAAUCUAAAUUCAAAUGGUUGAUUUGUCCUUGCAAAUCGUUGAUAAUAAUAAAUAUUAAAGCAAAUCAAAUGAUUGAUGCUGAAUGAAUAGUAGCUUACCCAAUCAUGGCACGAGACAAAGAAAUGAUCGGCCCCACCACUUCUAUUCCAGUAGGGGUAUUUGUCCGCUACAACAUAAAUGUAGUCGGUAAAAGUACGAUCCAGCCGAUGGAAGAAUGUCUCAUGGUGAGGCCUGAUUAGGAAGUCGGUAAUCUUGGACACACUCAACGGCAGGAAGAAUGCGUGGGCGUCGUCAGGUUGUUGGGCGACAAAUGGGCUUGGCCCACUUUCCAUCUCGAAUAUAAACUGCCCUUCUAUGGAGUAGAUGUAUGUGGUGGGCCCAUUGUGGACCAUUGGUAAAUCUCCUUCCUUGUAACUCCAUAUCUUGAACCUCUUCACCAUCUCUACGUGACUCCUAAUGUAUUCCAAAAUAAUAACAUAACAAAUUAAAUUAGUAAACAACCACACCACUAAGUUUUUGUAAAUGCAUAUUAACAACUCGUUUGGAACUGCUUGUAAUAUCGUUGAAAGAAUUUUUUGUAAAAAUAUUUUCGGAACCAAUCUUUAGUAAGGAUGCAAGUGAAUCAUGGAAAAGUACUUUAAGUGUUUUUGAAACAUCUAAACAUUUUUUCUAAAAGUGCUUUUAGUCAUUUUAAAAGUAUUUCCAAAUAACCUCUAAAUUAGUGGUAUCACUAGACCAAAAAUUGAAAAGGAAUAAGGUAUCAAUCAUUUAAAUAGAAAAAUGAGCGAUAAAGAACCUAAUUUCUCCAUAAAUUUACUUACACUUCAAAUUAGGGUUAUCAAAUAUGAAUAUUUAUUUGGAUCUCACUAUGACAUGCAAUUAUCUUAAACUAAUUACGUAUCGACAUACAUUUAAUUUUUUCACGUGACAACGCAUGAUUAACUUAAGAUGUGUCACAAUAACAUCGCACGUGUCAGCCAAUUGCGUCAAAUUAUAUACAUUCAAACAAAUCAUAUAAAAAAUUUGCUUGAUGGAAUUAUUUAAAUCAAAAUGGUAAAGAUAAAAACAUAAUUUUUGUGUUCAAAUGUAAGAUGCCAUAUGAUGACACACAUCUUGAAGAUACGGCCGAGGUCGAAUGGGAUAUAGUACCAGCACCACCCAAGAGGAAGCCCACAAGCACAUAUAAAUACAACAUAAGCAAUAAUGCCAUUUGUUAGGAAAAACGUGGACCGCUUCGGAAAGGGAUUAUCGGGAAAGGGACUUGUUUGGUUCUAACUUCUUACUUGUAAAGAAUCAGUGGCCUAACAAACCCACCCAUUGGAAUUAUAUUAACACAUAACUGAAUAUGGUAGCUGAUGGAUUUGUUACGCUAAGACAUAAAUAUGACCAUUUUUGUGUGUUGAUCUGCAAAUAUUCCUGUUUAUGUCAUUUCUCAGUUACAUUGUAAAAAUUCGUCAAUCUCAUAUAAACUAUCUACUAACAAACUAAUAUGCUAGUGGAUAAAGUGUUGAGUUUUUACACAUACGUCCAGGUUCGAAACUCUCAAUCUCCUAAAUUAUUGUAAUAGUUUUGAACUCUCCCCCUCCUCCUAAUAAUAGGGGUUUAGAAAAAAGAAAGGAAAAAAAAAAACUCUUUAUCAACCAAAAAAAGGUGAAAAUAUCAAAUUAAUCAUGUCAACAAAACUAAAGAAAAAUAACCAAAAUAAAAUUCAUGAGCAAUAUAGUAAACUAAGCACAAAUAAUUUUACAAUUUUUUUUCUUUUCAGAGCUUCACAUCCAGGUAACCAUGUUGGUUGCUCCAAUUUUCUAUUUCUCAUUUUUCUCAUAAUGAAAUAAACCUUUAGUGACGGGGAAUAAUUAUUCAUAAAUAGUCAUUAAAGAUAUGAACAACCUUUUUAGUGACGAAAAAUCAUUUGAAAGUCGUCAGAAACUAUUUUACUUUCCUAAUUUUAGAAACUAUUUUAUAUUUCUUUUUGUAAAUUUUACUUUCCUAAUUUUAAUAAACACAUACAUAGUAUGUGGACAAUCGCUAAUAUGAAAUUAAUUUCUUGUUUUUAAUUAAAGAAAAGCAUUUGGCAUUGUAUGGAAUUAUUAUAUUAUAUCUGCAAAAUAAUUAGGCUAAGUGCAUGUCACCCAAUUGUCAAUCACUCAAUGCUGAUUAACAAAGGAAUAAAACCUAAAAUAUAGAAUUGAAUUUUUUUUUAUAUAGAGAAAAUGAGAUUAAAAAAAAAAAAAAAAGGACUUAACUGAUGAAAGGCAUAUGGAUUUCUGUAGACGCUUCCUCUGGGGAUGUAAAUCUCCUUCCGGUCGGAGGUGACAUUCUUUGUGAUAAUAGCUUUGCGGAUUAUCGCUCUUGCUAUCCCCAACUCCUCUUCAAUCCUCUCCGUUUUGCUCUUCUUCUUCUGGAUUUAAACACAAGUUAAAAUUUACCCAGAUAAUUUUUUUGUAAACAAAAAAUAAUAAAAAAGCAGUAAAAAAAAAAAAAUGGAAGAAAAAUGGAAGCUUACGUACUUUGGUAGUAGCCUGACUGAGUUUGGAGGCGGUGGAAGUUGAGGAUGGCGCAUGGCGGCUGCGAGGCUCGAGCGGUGGCUGGGUUGUUGGGGAUGGGGAUGGGGAAGGUGCAGGUGCAACAGCAUGCAAAGCUGUGGUGUUGAAAUUGCCGGUGGUUUGGUGUUGGAAGUUAGACGGGGAGGAGAAGGAGGUGGGAGAAGAAGAGAAAUUGAGAGAGAGAUGGUGCCGUUGGUUCAAGGGAGAGAAGAAGAUGGCCACGACAAGGAGGAGGAGAAGAGGUACAGAGAGUAGAUAUGGAGAGCGAAAAUCCAGGGCUUCUGCCAUUUGAUAGCUCCAACCCACCUCCUUAAUUUAUCUAAGACCAGCUAAUAAUACAUAUAUAUGUAUAUGUGUGUAUUUAAGGUAAGGUAAAUGGCCAAAUAUUAACAAAACAAGGUUUCUGUUCGGUUUUGUGUUUAGUCACCGCAGGAAUAUUGAAUAACCUUUUGUUUUGUUUUCAGCUAGCGUGUUGCUUUUGUAACGGUUAAAGUAUUUUAAAAUAGGGUAAAUCUCUGUUUACUACCCUUAAGUUUCGUAGUUUUUAAUAUUUAGUACAUGAAAUUUUUUCGUCCUAGAGUCAUACCUAAAGUGUAAAUUUUGGGACAGUCUCAUACAUCUGUUAGUUAAACUGUUAAUUAAGGGUCCACGUGGCGCCCAUGUGAACAAUGACUGGACGCCCCCUGUCAUUAAGGGUCCACGUGGAUUUUAUUAUUAUUAUUUCUUUCUUUCUUUCUUCUUCUUCUUUCUGGGCUUUCACCUAUCCCGACCCCCUCCCUCAUUCUCCAUCCCUUCUCUUCCAUGCGCCCAUCCUCCCUUCACACCCACCCAUUCCCCUCCUUCCAUCUCCCUCCCUUUUCUUCUGUUCUUCUGUUCUUCUUCUUCAAAUUAAAAAAAAAAAAAAGUUCUGGGCUUUCACCCAUCCCGACCCUUCUUCUUCUUCUUUCUUCUCUUCAGAGGGCUUCACGUGGUUUUUUUUUCUUCUUCUCUUCUUCUUCUUCUUCUUCUUCUUCAAAUUAAAAAAAAAAAUGUUAUGGGCUUUUGUCACAUCCCGGCCCAGGUCCACCACAUCCCGGGCCCGUUCCACCACCGCAACACGAUAUUGUCCGCGACUACGCCCUCACGGUUUUGUUUCUGGGAACUCACAUGAGAACUUCCCAAUGGGUCACCCAUCAUAGGAUUGCUCUCGCGCGCUACUCGUUUAACUUCAGAGUUCCGAUGGAACCCAAAACUAAUGAGCUCUCAAAAAGCAUCGUGCUAGGUAGGGAUGAGAAUAUACAUUUAAGGAUCACUCCCCUGGACGAUGUGGGAUGUUACAGCUUUCACCCAUCCCGACCCCCUCCCUCAUUCUCCCUCCCUUCUCUUCCUUGCGCCCAUCCUCCCCUCACACCCACCUAUUCCCCUCCCUCAUUCUCCCUCCCUUUUCUUCUGUUCUUCUGUUCUUCUUCUUCAAAUUAAAAAAAAAAAAAGUUCUGGGCUUUCACCCAUCCCAACCCUUCUUCUUCUUCUUUCUUCUCUUCAGAAGGCUUCACGUGGUUUUUUUUUUCUUCUUCUGUUCUUCUUCUUCUUCUUCAAAUUAAAAAAAAAAAUGUUAUGGGCUUUUGUCACAUCCCGGCCCAGGUCCACCUCAUCCCGGGCCCGUUCCACCACCGCAACACGAUAUUGUCCGCGACUAUGCCCUCACGGUUUUGUUUCUGAGAACUCACAUGAGAACUUCCCAGUGGGUCACCCAUCAUAGGAUUGCUCUCGCGUGCUACUCGCUUAACUUCAGAGUUCCGAUGGAAUCCAAAGCCAAUGAGCUCCCAAAAGGCCUCGUGCUAGGUAGGGAUGAGAAUAUACAUUUAAGGAUCACUUCCCUAGACGAUGUGGGAUGUUACAGCUUUCACCCAUCCUGACCCCCUCCCUCCUUCUCCCUCCCUUCUCUUCUCUGCGCCCAUCCUCCCCUCACACCCACCUAUUCCCAUCCCUUUUCUUUUGUUCUUCUAUUCUUCUGUUCUUCUUCUUCAAAUUAAAAAAAAAAAAAGUUAUGGGCUUUCACCCAUCCCGACCCUUCUUCUUCUUCUUCUUUCUUCUCUUCAUAGGGCUUCACGUGGGUUUUUUUUUCUUCUUUUUCUGUUCUUUUGUUCUUCUAUUCUUCUUCUUUUUCAAAUUUAUAAAAAAAAAAUAAAAUAAAAUAAAGAAUUAUGGGCUUUCACCCAUCCCGACCCUCUCCCUCAUUCUCCAUCCAUUUUCUUCCCAGCACACCCACCCAUUCUUCUCUUUAUCCCGCCCAUCCCAUCAUCGCAGUUCGAAGCUUCAUCCGCUGCGACAGAGCAUGAAUCGAAGCUUGUUUUUUGAAGGUUUGUGUGCUUCUGCUACUCGACAAUUUCCUGGAAAAAAAUAGGCUAAAACAAGAGUUUAGCAUCAAUUGGGAAUUAAUCCAUUAAUUUGCCUAAUUAAUUUAUAGGGGAGGUUAUGGAAUAAUUUCUUUGUAGAGGAUAUAGAGUAAAGAUGGAUGAGAUAAAUUUGAACUCGUUACCUAUUUUUUGGUUGAUUCUCCACUGCUUGCAUGUAGGAAACCCGGUGUGUCUCAAAGGUAACUUUGUCCUUUUUACCCAAAAAUUCACGUGUCGCCUCUUGAUUAUUUUUGGUUCUAUAAAUGGCCAUACACCUGCUGGGAUGCUCGUAGGAAAAGACAGUAGGUGUAGAGAUCUUCUUGCUCUAGGAAACUUAGGAUUGCUUCAUGUUUUGAUGUAGAUUCCAUCUUUAAUAUGAAAUUAGAUCCUUCUAGGAAAGGGAAAUAAAUUUCUUUCAAAGCCUAUUUUAGUCCACCUUAAGUGGGUUAUUAAAUCAACUUUGGAGAGUGAUUUAUUCUACCCUACAAGAGAGAGAGAGAGCUUAGAGGAUAUUUGUUCCCUCUUCUCUAGCAAUCUUCUACAUCUUGCUCGUGCAAAGGAUCAUCUUUCGUUGCUUUCUUCGUCUUUUCUGGGCCGCACAGAUGCAAGAAAAACUUAAUUCUGCUUGUCUUCUUCUUGGGGUGGUGCUGUCACGAGGCAGUCGUCGAGGUGAUGCGGCACGUCGGCUGGCAGGGGCCAGGAGUCGGUUUGGCAUGGGCCAAGGAAGUGGUUGACAAGGGUCAUUGCUUGCGCUGCUCAGCUUGAUUAAAGCCAAAGGUUGGCUCGGCAUGGGCCGAGGAAGUGGCCUGGCAUGGCAACGGUUUGGGUUGCCAUGUCUGGGUUGCUUGCCUAAAAUAAGGAAAUUGCUUGAGUUUGAUUUUUUUACUGCUGUAGAUAGAGCAAUCAAGGAUAGAGCUAUCAAGAUCAGAACUGUCGAAGAUGAAGUGUUGGAUAAGCGAACUAUUAAGUGCAAAAAAUGGUUGCUACCUAGUUGAUCUUCAAGCAUUCGAUCUUUUAAACUAUGUGACUUUCUCGCAUUAGAGAGCUUACCCAGGUGGGUGUCGGGAAAUUAGUUUACCGUCUCGCAUUGGAGAGCAAUUAGUUUGCCCUCUCACACUGGAGAGCAAUUAGUUUAACCUUUCGCAUUGGAAAACAGAUUCUUUUGGGUGUCGGGGAAUUAGUUUACCCUUUCGUACUAGAGAGCAAUUAGUUUAACCUCUCGCACUAGAGAUCAGACCCUUUUGGGUGUCGGGGAAUUAGUUUACCCUCUCGCACUGGAGAGCAAUUAGUUUACCAUCUCACACUGGAGAGCAAUUAGUUUAACCUCUCACACUGGAGAGCAUACCCUUUUGGGUAUCGGGGAAUUGGUUUACCCUCUCGCAUUGGAGAGCAAUUAGUUUACCCUCUCGCACUGGAGAACAAUUAGUUUAACCUCUCGCACUGGAGAGCAAUUAGUUUAUCCUCUCGCACUGGAGAGCAGACCCAAAAAGGGUUUUGAGCAGUUGUUAUGGACAGCAGUUGAGCCAGGCUCAUGAAUAACUUCUUGAAUCUUUAUUGAGAAUAAAGAAAUAAAUCAACUGUGCUGGAAGGUAGAAACUGUAUAACAAACUGGAUAUUCUUUGGCUUGUGAAGCCUUGUUCGUCGAGCUGCUUGAGUCUUCGAACUUAUUUGGAAAAAAUCCAAAUGUGGUUCAGGGUGUGAUUGGAACUUCCCCUGCUUGUGUAGGCCAUUUUGUUAACCUGUCAAGAUACUCGUCGCAUCAGCCCUCAUUUGUCAGCUUCUCAAGGUACUACUUCCACUUUAGGCAGUCGUUGGUAGUGUGGCCUGGUCCUUGAUGAAAUACGCAAUAUUUUGUAUGAUCCAGCCUGGUAAGAUCACAUUUCAUGGGUGGCGGCAGUUCGAACCAAGGUUCAUUCUUGAGCUUGCUGAGAAUUUGACCGAUUGGAACUGUGAACUUGGUGAAUGUUUCAAGCGCUGAGUCUUCUCUGGUCGGGGAACGUUCCAUGUGCUUCUUUUCCGACUUGUUUUUGUUAGACUGAUUGGUCUCGUCCCAUAAUGCUUGCUUUUCUGCCAAACCAUACAAAGUUGCUAGGGUCAAUUAUUCUUCCAUGAUCAAUUUUUCGAAUAAAGGAUGUUCGGUGGGAAUCCCAUUUCUGAAUGCUGCCAUUGCUAUGUCUUCGUUGCAGCUAACAGUCUUGGCCUUAUCCACCUUGAACCUCUUGACAUAGUCGCGAAUUAUCUCCCGAUGAUCUUUUACGAUGUUGAAGAGAUGGUCGGAUGUCAUUUUGAUUGAUCGGUUAGACGAAUGCUCCUUAGUGAAAACAAAGGAAAGUUUGUUAGAACUCCGGAUCGACUGCGGCGGUAGAGUGUGAAACCAGUCUUGCGCCUCGCCUUGUAGAGUUGUGGCAAAAAUUUUGCACAUAAACGCAUCGUUGUUCCUGUAGAAGAUCAUGGUAUUGCGGUAAUAUUUGAGAUGUCGAUCCGAAUCUUCGUCUCCCUUGUACAGAAUGAAGUGAGGUACAAUGAACCUGCGAGAUGGAUCUAUCCACUCGAUCUCAUUCGUGAACGGUGACAUGCUUAUGUUGGUCAUGUCUCGUCGAAGCGCAUCGUCAGCGCCUCGUUUCGUUGGAAAUUACGCAGUCGUUCAGUUAUGAGCCUAUCAACUUCUUCUUGAAUUUGCCUCUGCUGGGGCAAUGGAAUUUUUGACUGUCCUCGGUCGUGACCUAUAGGUUUGGGCUGCUCUUCCCUUUGCUCGACUCGUCUAUGUCGCGGAUGCGGUGCAUGUGGCAUGUUCUUGGCAAGCGAACGGGCUGCUCGCAGACUACCAGUUGAACUUGAGUCGGAUUGAGUGAUUGCUUCUUUCUGUUUACCAUGCUGCCUCCUCCAAUAUGAGGUGGAGAAUACUUUUUGCGAGCCUGGUUGUGAAUGAUCAUUUUGCUUGGAAGGUUGUCCAUGUUGAUAAUCGAAAUGUGACCUCAACCGUGAACGUAUGCUCGUCCAUGGGCUUGAUCGGGAAUGCAUGUUCCUCCGUGCGCUAAGACGAGAGUAUUCGUUAUCCCAAUGACCUAGGUGGGAACGUAAACUACUAGAACGCUCGGAUUGUGGCUGGUUGAUAGGCUGCUUGCCGAGACGCUGGUAGAGAGGUUCAUCUGCCCUUGUCCUACUUAGGGACACCUCGUCUAGGGCACAUUGGAUCUCGGCGCGUUGCAAGAGUUGAUUCACCAAGGUUGUCUGUUGUGCAAGGGUGCUCGUCAACUCUAUGACUUGCCGAGACAAAUAUUGUUCGCCAUUUGGAUUAGAAGAGCUUGGAAUGAAUAGGCUUCCUUGAGUAAUGGAAGUACAGUAAGCACCGAGCAUGAGAUUUGAAUUGGGAAAUGUCAAAUCCGCGGUGAACUGUGGUGAAAAUGCCCAUGGCUCAAUGGUUUGUCAGGAUGGUUGAAAUAGUCUUGGGCCGAUUUGGGCUGCUUGGAGUGCUGUAGGAGCAAGCUGGGCCGCAGGAGCUGACUGGGCCACGAGAGUGGGCUGCUCGGCAAGAGCAGACUGGGCUACAAGAGUAAGCUGGGCCGCGAUAGCAGACUGGGCCACGGAAGUGGGCUGCUCGGCGAGAGCAGGCUGGGCCACGAGAAUGGGCUGCUCGGCGAGAGCAGGCUGGGCCACGAGAAUGGGCUGCUCAGCGCGUGAUGCUCACGAAUGCGAGGCUUGGGCUCGAAUUGGUAACACAUUGGGCUCGCGUUGGGCAUGGGGUGACAUGGCUCGGGCCGUGGCUUUGGUGGCGUGGGCCUUGGAUAGCACGGCUUGGGCUGUAAUGGUGGAGCCAUAGACCUUGCCGCGGGUGAUUACCGUGGUGGCCACCGCAAUGGUUGCCAUGGUGGAGCCUUGUGGUGGUGGUGCCGCUCCCCCUAAAAUCACGUUUAGUCUCGUGGAUUGCCACGGUCCCAUUUAUUGAAUAUUAGAAUUUUCACUUGUGGAAUUUUCUAAAUUUCUAGCCAUUGUAUUUCUCUUUUACGUUUUAUCAAAGAAUCUUGGCAAAUAAAAAAGUCUAAUAAUAAGAACGUACGAAAAAUACAAGUGGACUAGAAAAUAGAGAAAAAAACUUUUUGCGCGAGAGUCUUCUACGAGUGUGAAUCUCAACUCUCAAUGAAAGCACCAAUGUUGUGGAUGCAAAUUUUCUCCUUCUCCUUCUUUGACAAAAUUGCACCUACAAAACAAUUAACACAUUUGGUCAAGGCCAAGAGCCUCACGCGCCCAUGAUGAAUGGGGGGGCUUUGGCCGAAGAACCUCCGAUGCCAAAGUUAGAAAUUAGAGAGAAAAAGUGUUUAGAGAAUUUUUGGGAGUUUUGCAAGAGUAUGAACUUGGGUUUUUAGAGAGAAUAGGGACAUAUAUAUAGCACAAGGAGGUGGCCGGCCCUUGAGCUUUUUUGUGUGAAAAAUGGGUGAUUUAAUUUGGUGAUUUAAUGGAUUAAUUGGGAAUUAAUCCAUUAAUUUGCCUAAUUAAUUUAUAUGGGAGGUUAUGGAAUAAUUUAUUUGUAGAGGAUAUAGAGUAAAGAUGGAUGAGAUAAAUUUGAACUUGUUACCUAUUUUUGGUUGAUUCUCCACUCAUUGGGUGUAGGAAACCUGGUGUGUCACAAAGGUAACUUUGUCAAUUUUACCAAAAAAUCCACGUGUCGCCUCUAGAUUAUUUUUGGCUUCACAAAUGUCGUCCUCGAAUUUGCAUGUUGCAGAUCAAUGUCAUCUGUCCGUAUGUAUUCUGUUAAGAAAUCUGUUAGUGUGCUAACGUGACACUUAGGCUCGUCCACUAUUAUGAUGCCAUGUGGAUUAAAAAACAAAAAUAAUUUUUUAAUUUAGCCUACUAAUUCUCUCUUCCUCUGCUCUCUCUUCUUCCCUCCCGUAUGCUCUCUCCCUUCAACGCGGCAACAAUAGCCUAGCACCGAAGAGGCGACGGCGCCGCUGUCUUCCGACACCAACGAUUCAAAAACUGAUAUUCCUAUAAUCCUCUCUUAAUACCCUUCCAAAUAUCUACUUUCAUCAAAUUCGAAGUUGAUAGGCUCGAAUUUCAAAUCUAGGCCGUGAAAGUUCGUGGGUUUUCUGGCCAAACAUCAAUUUCUUUCUAGUUCUCCUGGGGAUUUUCAACGAGUAAUUCUGAUGGGGGUGUGUUGGUGCGUGGGGGAUUGGAUUUGAAGGGGUGUGUUUUUGUCUAGUUCUCUUUCAUCGCGGAUUCACCGCGUGUUCCAUGUCCAGCGGUGGUGAUGAAAUCUGGAAGCCAUGGCACAAACUUGUUACUCUUGUAACUGUUAAAAGUAUUUCAACGUGUUACCCUUGUAACUGUUAAAGGUAUUUUAAAAUUAAAAAAAAGCGUUCUGCAUUGUUUGAAAAAGAAAAAGAAAUAUGGGAAAUGGGAUAUAAAUGAUGAAAGCGUGCGAAGUUUAAUAAGCAUAACCUUUUGUUCUGUUUUUCAGCGUGUUACUUCUGUAAUUGUAAAACGUAUUUUAAAAUGAAAAAAGCAUUCUGCAUUGUUUGAAAAAGAAAAAUAAAUCUUGCAAAUUAGUUCUGAAUGAUGAAAGCUCUCGAAGUUUUGAUAAGAAUUUCGACAUAUUGGUAAGGGAUAUGAGUUUCGCUUUCAUUUUCUCCUCAUACACAUAUGUAUAUGUUUUUGUUCAUACAUUUUUACUAAUUUGUUUAAUCAUGUGACCAUCAAUAAAAAGAAGAGUGCAAACAGAUAUGAUAUGAGUGUGAAAAUCGUUAAUGAGUCUAUAAAUUAAAGUUCCAAACAAGCCCUUAAAUAUUAUACACGAUCUCAAGACGUUGCUGAAAACUGAAAAGAAUAAAAUGAAUAAAGAAAGGUAGAACCCUAGAGGUUGCGUCCUUUAUGUUCUUCAAGACAAAAUUGGACAAAAUCAAAUCAUAAAAUAAGGGGAACAAACAAUAUUCAAAUCGUAUUGGCUCAUAUAUUUCCGUGUUUCUUAAUUUACUCAACUUAUUCCUAAUAUUGGAAAGAAAAAAAAACUUGUUCCUAAUAUAAUAGAUAGAUUUUUUUUUCUUAAAUAUCAUAUAACGAAAAAGAAAGAAGCAUAAUGAAAAAGAAAGAAGAGAAAGUUGAUAUAUGAAAAUUUAACAAGAGAAACAUAGAAAUAAGUGGAUGCAAGAGAAGAAAAGCGGAAGGGACUUUUCAUUUAUUUAUUCCUCGGAAUAUAUGAUAUAGUGUUUUGUCUCACUUUUUCCAAGUGUAGAGAAGAUCCCAUUGAUGUUUUUUCUCAUCAUAAGAAUAAGCUCCUUCGCGUCUAAUGCUCCAAGAAUACUUAGAUGCAAAACGAGGAUCAUCUCGUUGCGGAUUAUACAAGUCAAAGACAUCAUUAUUGCCAUUUUUCCACCAGAAGAAGCAAAAGAGUCGUGUCUUGGGAGUGACGUCAUCGGAUUUGAAGCUAUGAGAAAAGGAGUGGUGAAACGAGAGGGUUUGUAGGCCGAGGUUUUCAUCAUGGAAUUUGCCGUGAAAGUUGCAGUGAACGACUAAUUUGAUCCGUGAUCCCAAGUCAUUAGUUAUGUUCACAACUCUAGUUACAGGAGGAUCUUGCGCACCCAAACCACCUUCAAAUAGCACAAAGAAUAAGCAAAUAAGCAACAGUAUGUUAUCCUUAUCCAUUGCCAUUGAUCUAAAAAUUAUAUCAAAGGGUAAAUGUUUGUUUGUUUGUUUGUGUCCAAGCAACAACCAAAGCACCCUUUAUAUAUUUUUGUCAAACAAGCUCUUUAUGGGAUGGGACUGCCAUACAUGCUAAUUACCAUAAACAAAUAUAUCACGCGGAAAUGUAUUUAUCUAGAAAAUCAACUCUAUACAUUGUACAAGCUCUAUUUUUCUAAUUCAUUGCCAAAUCCUCAUUAUUAUUAUUUUCAAUACAGCAAUAUAUGGAAAAUCCUCAUUAAUUAAUUGCCAAGAUUAAUUCUUUUCUCAUCUCAAAUUUGCAAUUUCCUAUUAGAGAUGCCUGAUAGCAUGUUGCUCCUUUAUCGAAUGAUAUUAUGUAUAUCCAAUGAUAUUAAACUUUGGUGAAUCCUCCCCAUACACCUACGUCUUCUUUUGCUUAACCAGAGUUAACUUUUCAAAACAAACCAGAAUAUGACUACUAAUUAUGAGAGAGAAACUAAUAUAAUAAUAAAAUUUUGAAAAAGGGAUGGGAAGAUGAAAAAUAAUAAACUAAUUAUGCACAGUGCGAACUAAUUAUAAAUCAAUUAUGCAAAUAAAUACAGAAUCCCGAAAUGGAAGUAAGUGAAAAUACAAAUUACAUAGAGAGGAGAGAGACGUGGGAGAAGAAGGUGUACAUGUCAAAGUACAUUUUGACCCCUGUAUCUAAUGGAAAAUGUUUUGGAAUUAAAUUUGUUAACGGAGUUCACCACAAGGAUUUAAAUCUUAAUAUUUUGACUACGGAGCUAUCUUUCAAAUACGAUUGUUUCAGCUUUAACCAACAACAAAGCCCAAACUUAUUCCUCAUUCGUACACGUGUGGUUUCAAUGUCACGUAGCGCUCAAUGGAAUUAAGCCAGAGAAAGCCGAAAACCUAAUGUUGUCAAUGGCAAUACAAAUGGCACAAGCAGAAUGAAAGGGAUUUUGAAACCGCCGAUGAAAAAUUUCAUUAGUAACAUCUUAUAUAUUGCAGGUUUAAUCGGAAGCCAGUAGUUUAUAACACAAAACACAUGGUAGAUACAUGUUUCUCCACAUCCAUCCUUAAAAUAUACGCUAUCGUUAGCAUUCUUCCGCAUUGCGCGCUCACAAGACACAGCCCGAAUUUUUCCUUCUGGAAAAGUUACUCUAUUUGCACCAGGAAGGCCCGAGUGUAAUCAUUUGCAUCGAUGCUCAUAGCCUAGAAACUGGUAAACCUACAUUGGAACAGAAGUUUUCUGCAAAGAUGAUUUUCCUGCAUGAUGCUGGCGAAGUUAGGAAAGUUUAUUUACAUUUGACAAUGCUAGGACUGGCAGCUGGUGGUGUGGAGCGUUUCUCUUUGAGAACUGGUUCCACCUGGUUUGUAUUCGACCAAACAGGGUAUCCUUUAAUUUUCCCCUAAAUCAUAACAAUGUAAGGACUGUCAGUACUUUUAGUGCCAAAGCUGCAGAAAAUUUUUUGAAGCAAUUUUUGAAUGAUGUGAGCUAUUUCGAAUGCUGCGAUUCUAUUAAUUUCUUUUCUGCCAUUUUCCGAUAUUUAAUUUGGUUGGAAACUCACCAAUUGAUGGAGUUAAGCUAUAUAUGUUUUUGUUUCUGGAAAGGUUCAGUCUCUUUAAGUGAAGGAAGCUAGUUGAUACUUGAUAUGCAACAAGAAGAAAUUGUUGUUGCUACCAAGACUUAUCUAAUAAACUAACCAGGGAGUUAGGCAUUUUCGUGUUUCGGACAUUUCAAAUUACAUGUCACUGUACUGUAAUUUUUCUGUGGCCAUAGACGGAUCAGAUGCAUAAAGAAGGGGAUUCAUCAACAGAAAACUAUGAGAACAAUUGGUUUCUUGAAAUCAAUUUCAUAUUCGUAACUUCAUAUCAUGAAUGCGAACAAUGUAGUCAUCCGUAAGCCCCGAUCAUGUACGAAACAAACAAGCCCUUAAAUAUUAUACACGAUCUCAAGACGUUGCUGAAAACUGAAAAGAAUAAAAUGAAUAAAGAAAGGUAGAACCCUAGAGGUUGCGUCCUUUAUGUUCUCCAAGACAAAAUUGGUCAAAAUCAAAUCGUAAAAUAAGGGGAACAAACAAUAUUCAAAUCGUAUUGGCUCAUAUAUUUCCGUGUUUCUUAAUUUACUCAACUUAUUCCUAAUAUUGGAAAGAAAAAAAAAACUUAUUCCUAAUAUAAUAGAUAGAUUUUUUUUCUUAAAUAUCAUAUAAAGAAAGAAGAGAAAAUUGAUAUAUGAAAAUUAAACAAGAGAAAAAUAGAAAUAAGUGGAUGCAAGAGAAGAGACGGGGAAGGGACUUUUCAUUUAUUUAUUCCUAGAGUGUUAUUUAUUUCUCGGAAUAAAUGAUAUAGUAUUUUGUCACUUUUUCCAAGUGUAGAGAAGAUCCCAUCGAUGGUUUUUCUCAUCAUAAGAAUAAGCUCCUUUGCGUCUAAUGCUCCAAGAAUACUUAGCUGCAAAACGAGGAUCAUCUCGUUGCGGAUUAUACAAGUCAAAGACAUCAUUGCCAUUUUUCCACCAAAAGAAGCAAAAGAAUCGUGUCUUGGGAGUGACGUCAUCGGAUUUGAAGCUAUGAGAAAAGGAGUGGUGAAACGAGAGGGUUUGUAGGCCGAGGUUUUCGUCAUGGAAUUUGCCGUGAAAGUUGCAAUGAACGAGUAAGUUGAUCCUUGAUCCCAAGUCAUUAGUUAUGUUCACAACUUUGGUUACAGAAGGAUCUUGCGCACCCAAACCACCUUCAAAUAGCACAAAGAAUAAGCAAAUAAGCAAGAGUAUGGACACCUUAUCCAUUGCCAGUGCUCUAAAAAUUAGAUCAAAGGGUAAAUGUUUGUUUGUUUGUUUGUGUCCAAGCAACAACCAAAGCACCCUUUAUAUAUUUUUGUCAAACAAGCUCUUUAUGGGAUGGGACUGCCAUACAUGCUAAUUACCAUAAACAAAGAUAUCACGCGGAAAUGUAUUUAUCUAGAAAAUCAAUUCUAUACAUUGUACAAGCUCUAUUUUUCUAAUUCAUCGCCAAAUCCUCAUUAUUAUUAAUUUCAAUACAGCAAUAUAUGGAAAAUCCUCAUUAAUUAAUUGCCAAGAUUAAUUCUUUUCUCAUCUCAAAUUUGCAAUUUCCUAUUAGAGAUGCCUGAUAGCAUGUUGCUCCUUUAUCGAAUGAUAUUAUGUUUAUCGAAUGAUAUUAAACUUUGGUGAAUCCUCCCCAUACACCUACGUCUUCUUUUGGUUAACCAGAGUUAACUUUUCAAAACAAACCAGAAUAUGACUACUAAUUAUGAGAGAGAAACUAAUAUAAUAAUAAAAUUUUGAAAAUGGGUUGGGAAGAUGAAAAAUAUAAACUAAUUAUGCACAGUACGAACUAAUUAUAAAUUAAUUUUGCAAAUACAGAAUCCCGAAAUGGAAGUAAGUGAAAAUACAAAUUACAUAUAGAGAGGAGAGAGAAGUGGGAGAAGAAGGUGUACAAGUCAAAGUACAUUUUGAUCUGUAUCUAAUGGAAAAUGUUUUGGAAUUAAAUUGGUUGAUGGAGUUCACCACAAGGAUUUAAAUUUUAAUAUUUUGACUACGGAGCUAUCUUUCAAAUACGACCAUUUCAGCUUUAACCAAUAACAAAGCCCAAACUUAUUUCUCAUUCGUACACACGUGUGGUUUCAUUGACACGUAGCGCUCAAUGGAAUUAAGCCAGAGAAAACCGAAAACCUAAUGUGUUGUCAAUGGCAAUACAAAUGGCACAAGUAGAAUGAAAGGGAUUUUGAAACCGCAUAUGAAAAAUUUCAUUAUUAACAUCUUAUAUAUUGCAAGUUUAAUCGGAAGCCAGUAGUUUAUGUAAAAUCAAUAUAUGCGGAAACAUGUAAUUCACGAUACCAAAUUAACCACUAACCUUGUGACGCCAUUCCUGCAAUGAACUAAGGGUUCUUCUACUUUCUACACAGACCGAAUGCACUGCUACAAUCAAUGGGGUUUGAUAUCUUUUGUGCGUAAUUUGUGAGAGAGCAGAGGACCCUAUUAUAUAUCCUAACUGGUGGUGUUUGAUAAGGAUACUUCCCAUCAUGUAAUCCUUAUCAAACUAUCAUACUAAUAACCCUUAUCACCUCAAAACCAUACUAUUCAUAUCAGUAUAGAUAUAUAUCUACUCAUAUCAGGAUUACUUUAGCUAUAUAGUCCACAUACACUCCUGGAUAGCUUACAAGUAUAGUCAAUCUAAAUCUCUUAUGAUCCCAAUCCCUUAAGCACAUGUUAAACAAGUGAGCAGCUCUAACAAAGCUUACAUUCUCCCACUAGAGCCAACACUUUUUUAUCACAGUACCACCUAAUAAGAAAUCAUAUUUGAAUGGCCAUGAGAAUAAGAUUAACAAAACCCCGAUAACAAGUUUCUGUCAUAAGUUAGUAUUCAUGAAGAACUAAAGGGAAGUCAUGCUUUAAUAUAUAAACAUUAUCCCCAAAAUUACUGUCAUGAAACCAUCAAACACAUGAAACUCCAUCAAGACAUGAAAAAUAAUAAUAUAACACUGCAAUUCUGGGAAACCUUUGCAACUAGCAGCGUGUAUUACUUUAUUAGUUAAGAUGAUCUAAACAUAAAUACUUUAAUGCAUAUUCCAAAAAUACCUGAAUAAACCAAUGUCCAAGAACAAAUGUCUUAAACAUGAUCAAAACUCCCACUGUUCUGCAGUAUCAAAAACUUCCAGCACUUCUAUUUUGCUUAUAUGUUUCUUGAAUACUGCCACUGGAAUGGCCUUGUUCAACAGAUCUGCUAUCAUAGAACCUGUCUCCAAAUAAUUAAUUUUAACCAAACCAUCCAUCACCUUUUCACAAGCAACAAGAAACUUUAUCUCCAGGUUCCUUGUAGCAUUGGAUCUCUUAUUGUUCUUUGUGAAGAAAAUCGAUGCACUAUUAACACAGUAAAGCUGAAUGAAUCUUGAGAUUGAGUCAACAAUAUGAAGACCAAUGAUAAAAUCCUUGAACCAAAAACUACCUAAUUCACAGUUUCACAGCAAGACAAGUACUUUACCACCAUUGUCGAAGAAUGCAACGAUGUCUUGCUUGGCACUCCUCUAAGAGAGACAACUCCAUUAGCCAUCAUGAACACAUAGCUUGAAGUUGAUUUCAAAUCAUCAUCUAAGUAAUCAGUGAAGUCUGCGUCAUUGUAUCAUUCUAAGACCAAGUUUUCAGUCUUCUUAUAAACCAGCAUAUGAGACCUAGUUUUCUCCAAGUACCUUAGAACUCUUUUCCCAGCAUUCCAGUGUGCUUCUCCUGCAUCAAACUGGAAUCUCUCCUUAAAAAAAAUAAAAAAAUUGAUGGUAAAAGAUAGGUCUGGCUUAGUACAGACUUGAGCAUUCAUUAAGCUCCUUACUAAUGAUGCGUAAUGAUUAUCCUUCAUCAUUUCAUUUUCCAAAUUAUUUAUGGGACAUUGCUCAUUGCUUAGCUUAGCAUUCUUCAAUAUAGACAGUCCAAUUGUGUCGCAUGCUGACAUGUUGAAUCUCUUUAAAACUUUCUUAAUGAUUAUUUUGUGACAACCCUAACAAUCCUUUUUUUUUCUUCUUCCUUUUAAUCUCGAUGCCGAUUACAUAAGAGGGCUCACCUAAAUAUUUCACCUCUAAAUGCUCUCUCCCUUUCUCCUUCAAACUCUCCGGUUGUAUCGUAUAUAUACUUUCCUCCAAAUCACCAUUUAAGAAAGUCGUUUUUACAGCCAUUUGAUGCAAAACAAGUCAAAAUGUGCCACCAUUGCCAUGAUUACUCUGAAUGCAUCUUUCGUUGGUACUAGACUAGAAGUUUCUUUAUAAUCGGUACCUUCUCUUUGAAUGAAUCCCUUGGCCACCAAUCCGACCUUAUGUCUCUUUACAUUUCCCUUUGAGUCUCUCUUGGUUUUAAACACCCGUUUACAACCUUUCUGUUUCAUGCCUUCUCUUGGUUCCACUAGUUCCCAUACUUUGUUUUCUUCCAUUGAUAACAAUUCAGACUCCAUAGCUUCUAAUUGUUUGCUUGGUUUUGGACUCGUGAUGGCUUGUUUGAAAGUCCUAGGAUCAUCGAACUUUGACAAAUUAAAAUAUAGUUCUGCCAAAUACACAAAAUUUGAUGAGAAUGUUGACUUUCUUACCCUAUUUGAUUUCCUCAAAAGCGGUGGAGCAUCACCGACUGCCAAAAAUGGUGAGUUUAGUCAGUGUUUGCUGCCAUUGGCAGUGCUUCCUCCAUGUGUGCUUUCUGAUUUCCUGCAUGUUGUUCAUCAUUUAACAACACCCCACGUACCCUGCUUUCUGAUUUCCUGAUUUCAGUGCCAUGCUCUAGUCGGUAGUCAUUGCCACUUGGAGAUGCCACCUCCACAUACCCUGCAUGAUCGUUACUUUACUGCUCACAAUGCAACAUGUUGAGAAAAACUUAAGAGUACACAACUCUUACACAAGUGUUGGAGAGACAACACAAAUAAACAAAUUACUUGUAUUACACACACAAAAUAUUACAACACUCAAAACACUCAAAGACACACUUUAGAAGCAAUGACACUCACUCACUUUCUAGAGACAAACUCUAGAUCACUCACACACUCCUCACAAGACUACUCUUACUUCUCACUCUCACUUGGUUGCUUGCUUGCUUGAUUACUUCUUUUCUUAUUUUGUUGCAUUGCAAGACACACACACACACACACCUAUUUAUAGGUGGUGUUCAUCAACCUUCCCUCUGCCCACCGACAUGGGCAUUACAUAAUGGCCACACAAUUGUACAAAUAGCUAGAUCUUUCUAGCUAGGGAUCAUGCACUGCCACCAACAUGCUUGCUAGAGCUUUCUAGCAAAAUCAUGCUUUCAUUCAUGAUUCCAAAUGGGCUGGCCCUUAAUUAAUGGGCUGGUGUUGUAUUUUUAACACUCCCCCUCAUCACCAGCUCAUUCUUUUCUCCAUGCUGAGUUGACGACGAAACUUUUCAAACUUGUCGGUACUCAAACCUUUAGUGAACAAGUCCGCAACUUGUUCAUCUGUAUUGAUUUGUCUCAUCUCAAUCUUUUCUUGCAAGACCUUCUCUCUAAUGAAAUGGUAGUGUACCUCCACAUGCUUAGUUCUCGCAUGAAAGACUGGAUUUUCCGCUAAACGAAUUGCCGACUGAUUGUCACAAUACAACAGAACUACAUAAUCCACUGGUUGAUGUAAAUUCAUUAGCUGUAUCAACCAUGUACUCUCUUGAGCUGCCAUUGCCGCUGCUCGAUACUCAGCUUCAGUGGUUGAUAAUGAUACCGUCGGUUGUCUCUUGCUACACUAAGAAAUUGUUCCAGAACCAAGCUUAAACACAUACCCAGUUGUUGAUCUCUUGGUGUCAUGAUCUCCUGCAUAGUCAGCAUCACAGUAACCAACAAACUUGCAGUCUUCACCUUUCUUGUACAAAAGACCAUAGUCAAUUGUACUCUUCACAUAUCUCAGUACUCGUCGAACUGCUUCCAAGUGAGGCUUCUUUGGAUUUUACAUGUACCGACUCAUCACACCAACUGCAUAAGAAAUGUCAGGUCGAGUCAAGGUUAAGUAGAUCAGACUACCUACCAAUUGUCGAUACAUCGUCGCAUCUUCCAAAUCUUUUCCUUCAUAUGCACACAUUUUAGCAUUUGGCUUCAUCGGCGUCGAAAUCAGCUUGCAUUCGAGCAUUCCGAACCUCUUCAACAAAUCUUUGGCAUACUUUUGUUGACAGAGAAAUAUUCCUUCUUGUGUGCGAUCAACCUCUAGACCAAGGAAGUGCUUGAGUUGACCAAGUUCCUUCAUUUGGAAACAGACUGAUAAAUUCUUCUUCGUCUGAAGAAUUUCUGCCUCAUCAUCACCGAUUAUGAUUAAGUCAUCCACAUACACUAGCACGAUAGCUAGCUUUCCUUCAUUGGCUUUGACAAACAAGUUGGAAUCUGCAGGUGUUACUGAAUAACCACUUUG
rnacentral:lncRNA from 1 species